ensembl:lncRNA
CUGAGAUCUGGUGCCCACUCAGAGACGGUGUAGCUGUCCUCUAUACAGACCCUGGGUGAGACUAUUUAUGCCUCCCUGUCCUGCUGUGCAUCACUUGGAGACCUCACAAGAAAGAAAAGGCACCUGUGGAAAUAGAAUAUGAUUGAGGUAUCUUGGGAUAUUUCACCACAACAGCAAGAGCUGCUGGAUUUUCCUGAGGAAGCAACAGAUCCUCUGCAGGGCAGAGCCUACCUUGUGCUUGGCUGUUGUGCCUUCCAAAUGGGUCCGGUUUGGAUUCCAGAUGCAAAGCAUCAGUGUGCCUCUCCCUGCCAUGGGCCUGGACUGACCACCACCACCACCUCUCAGUGAGACAUGCUCCUCCACUGCCUGGGUGUCACCCUGUGCUCAAAGCUGGUCACUUCCCAGGGCUCUAGUCCUGCUCCUGGCUGAACUGUGUUAUCUUCUCACAACAUUAAGAGGAAACAGGAUCAGAAGUGAUAAAUGCAUUGGCAGACGUCCUACAGCAAGAUCUACCCCGCAGAGAGGACUGAACGUUGCCGCUGGUUAUUGCCUUCAUCUGAGCUCCUGUGGCAGAUAUCCAGGCAAUGAAUCCAACCAGCCCUGCUCCAUUAAUGAACCCUGAGAAGAUCAAAGAUGGAAGCACAAGAUGAAGUGUCUGCUUUACAGCUCUUAAAAGCUUAAGAAAAAUGAAAACACAUACAAGGAACCGAUAUGAGGCCAAUUUUACUGAAGAUGGAAAACUAAACUCAAAGCACCACUCCAGGUCUCCACGUAUUGAGGGUGUAGGGUUUUACAGACAGUUUACUCAUCCACCACCUGCAUUAAGGAGAAUGGGCUCCAUCCUGCUCUUCCCCAGGCGUCUCUCUGCUACUCACCUGGUAGAGCCAUUCUCAGCUACAGAGGCCCCUUCACCACCAAUCUGGUAAGGAAUUAUCUUCUCCUUUCUAAUCACAAUUCAUUAAGUCAUUGGUAUAUAUUAUUAGCUUCUAAUUUAUGCUCAUGUUUGUGUCUCCUUUUGCAGUAGAAGUUAGACUUUGGUACAAUUCUUUCUUAUUUUCUGUUUCUCAAUUUUUCUCCAUGCAUAUACAGACAGUAACUGCC